ensembl:lncRNA
UAGAGAGAAUGUGACCAGAAUAUGGCACCUGCAGGGAGGUUCCUGCAGUGAGAUGCCAGCCUAGGGAGACCCAGGGAGGGCUGCGAGGGGCAGAGGUGACCAUGGCAGAGCUGAGCAGCCACAUCCAGCAGCACCAGCAAGAGAUGGAAUUCUGUCAGUCCCAGGGCCAGAGAGAAGCAGUAGUGCUGGAGCCACAGCAUGGAGGGGCCCAGACACGCCAGGACUCACAGCAGCAGGACACGCCAGCCUUCCUACAGAUGCUGCAGGUGGACCUGGACAUCUGCAGGGACCUGAACAGCAUGCGGCUGGCCCAGCUGCAUCUGCAGCAGCGUGUGGUGGAGCAGAAGCACCAGGACUUGAUCUCUCAGAAGCAUCGUUACCAGGCAAUGAUGGAGCAGGACCAGAAGGACACAUCUCAGAUAGAGGCCACCUCUGCAUAUUCCUGUAGUAGUUCCGGUGCAAGUAAUGAUCUCCUGGAGGAGUACACAGAGCAACUCGAGCAGGUGGCCAUGCAAGCAGGUAGAGAGCACUGCAGACAGAGGUGGGAAGUCCAGGAGCAUCAGUACUGGUCGUCGACAGGGCACAGCACUGCUAAGGAAGAAGCCCAGGGCAGGAGGAGGCAGUGCCAGCAAGCAGCCCUGUCUCGAGCAGCCCAAGUCCCAGCACGGUCACUGGCAGCCCAGAGCUGCCUACAGCACAAGAAGGAACAGCUGCAGCCACAUGCAGGGAGCACCAUGCAGUGCACAGAGGAACAGCCGUGCUCUUGUGCAAAGAGCAGCAUGCAGCACACAGCUGACAGCAGCAUAGUGGAGCCGCGAGCGCCGCAGGAGGUAGCAGAAAGCAGGGAGAUGGCAGUGUGGCUCCAGAUGGAGCUGAGCCAGUGGCAACAGAAGCAGCAGGUGACUCUGGAGCAGUCACUGCAACACAUGCAUGCUGCUGCCCAUGCCAAACAGGAACUACAGAAGAGCCAAGAGCAACUCCAAGCCCUGAAGAAGCAGCUAAAGGCUCAGAAGGAGCAGAACCGGACCCUGCAGCACAGCCUGGAAAAGCAGCAAGAGGUGCUGACAGCCACCAAGGCUCGGGAGAUGCAAAGCUUGCAGCAGCUCAGUAGACACAAGCAGACAAUCCACGACCUACAGCAGAAAGCAGCCUCGAGCAGAAAGAAGGUGGCAGAGCUGCUACAGCAGGUGGAGGAAGUGGCAUCCCUGAAGGCAGAGCUGGCCCAAGCCCAGAGAAAGAUAGGCCACAAUCUUCCACUCCUUUGUCGUUAUGAGAAAGAGAGGCAGCAGCUCCACAGGGAACUGGAGAAGCAACAGAGGGCCCAGGUGCAGAGCCAGCAGGAGGCCCGCUCCUUCCAGGAGAAGCUGCAAAAGCUGAGCAGCCAAGUUCAGUACUGGCAGGAGUUACACCAGGACACUCAGCAAACUCUGGCUAGACGGGAAGAUGAGCUGUCUGUCUGUAAUGCGGAGAUGGAUUUCAAGGAAGAAUUCAUCAAGGCCAUGAGACAGGCUCAGGCCAGGAACAGGCAGAACCAGAACCACAGCCCAAGGGCAGGAGGAGUGCAACCUGAGCCCCAGGCACCGCUGAAGGACAGAUCCUGGCCUACAGGCAGGACAGAGGUAAAAACCCUGCACUCUUCCCACACCCCAGCCUGUUCUAACAGGUUGCACCAGGACAGGAAUCUGAUGCUGAUCAAUAACAGCCAGAAUGUGAAAGAGCAGAUGCAGUCAAAUGAGAAGCAACACCACAAGAUCCAGCAGCAAGUCAAGCAGGCUGCAGAGUUCACAGGCAAAAACCAGCAUCUUCAAGACACACUGGACAGCUUGCAUGUGGAAAACACAUACUUCAGGUCUAGAACACAUGUACAGUACCACAAUCAUGAGCAGAUGAAGGCUCUACAGGGCAACAACCUGACUGCACGAGCCCUGCAGAACUUGGCAGGGUUGUCUCUGCCUGGAACUUACCUCCAGGAUGAGAAGUUACACAAAACAACGGAAGGGUUAAAGACUCACAACCUUUAA